UGCCUACUGCUUGCUCAGAGAUUCAG
rnacentral:piRNA from 1 species